ACGCUCGACACCUACGGGGGCAGCAGUCGGGAAUAUUGCGCAAUGGAGGAAACUCUGACGCAGUGACGCCGCGUAUAGGAAGAAGGUUUUCGGAUUGUAAACUAUUGUCGUUAGGGAAGAAAAAGGACAGUACCUAAGGAGGAAGCUCCGGCUAACUACGUGCUAGCAGCCGCGGUAAUCUGAGCGGGCUGGCAAGGC
rnacentral:rRNA from 1 species